rnacentral:rRNA from 1 species
GAUGAACGCUGGCGGCGUGCCUAAUACAUGCAAGUCGAGCGAACAGACGAGGAGCUUGCUCCUCUGACGUUAGCGGCGCACGUGUGUGUAACACGUGUAUAACCUCCCUAUAAGACUGGGAUAACUUCGGGAAACCGGAGCUAAUACCGGAUAAUAUAUUGAACCGCAUGGUUCAAUAGUGAAAGACGGUUUUGCUGUCACUUAUAGCUGGAUCCGCGCCGCAUUAGCUAGUUGGUACGGUACCGGCUUACCAAGGCAACGAUGCGUAGCCGACCUGAGAGGGGGAACGGCGCCGCUGGAACUGAGACACGGUCCAGGCUCCUACGGGAGGCAGCAGUAGGGAAGCUUCCGCGAUGGGGGAAAGCCUGACGGAGCAACGCAGCGUGAGUGAUGAAGGUCUUCGGAUCGGAAAACUCUGUUAUUAGGGAAGAACAAAUGUGUAAGUAACUAUGCACGUCUUGACGGUACCUAAUCAGAAAGCCACGGCUAACUACGGG